rnacentral:rRNA from 1 species
UGGGGAAUAUUGCACAAUGGGCGCAAGCCUGAUCCAGCCAUCCCGCGUGUGCGAUGAAGGCCUUCGGGUUGUAAAGCACUUUUGGCAGGAAAGAAACGUCGCGGGUUAAUACCCCGCGAAACUGACGGUACCUGCAGAAUAAGCACCGGCUAACUACGUGCCAGCAGCCGCGGUAAUACGUAGGGUGCAAGCGUUAAUCGGAAUUACUGGGCGUAAAGCGUGCGCAGGCGGUUCGGAAAGAAAGAUGUGAAAUCCCAGAGCUUAACUUUGGAACUGCAUUUUUAACUACCGGGCUAGAGUGUGUCAGAGGGAGGUGGAAUUCCGCGUGUAGCAGUGAAAUGCGUAGAUAUGCGGAGGAACACCGAUGGCGAAGGCAGCCUCCUGGGAUAACACUGACGCUCAUGCACGAAAGCGUGGGGAGCAAACAGGAUUAGAUACCCUGGUAGUCCACGCCCUAAACGAUGUCAACUAGCUGUUGGGGCCUUCGGGCCUUGGUAGCGCAGCUAACGCGUGAAGUUGACCGCCUGGGGAGUACGGUCGCAAGAUUAAAACUCAAAUGAAUUGACGGGGGUCGAU